rnacentral:piRNA from 1 species
UAAGGGGCUGCAAGGCACAUGGGAGC